CUACGGGGUGCUGCAGUGGGGAAUAUUGGACAAUGGGGGAAACCCUGAUCCAGCAAUGCCGCGUGUGUGAAGAAGGCCUGCGGGUUGUAAAGCACUUUCGGUUGGGAGGACUGCUUCUAGCACUAAUAUUGUUGGAAGUUGACGUUACCUUCAGAAGAAGCACCGGCUAACUCCGUGCCAGCAGCCGCGGUAAUACGGAGGGUGCAAGCAUUAAUCGGAAUUACUGGGCGUACAGCGCGCGUAGGCGGCUAGAUCAGUCGGGUGCGAAAGCCCCGGGCUUAACCUGGGAACUGCAUCCGACCCUGUCUAGCUUGAGUACAGGAGAGGGGAGUGGAAUUCCACAUGUAGCGGUGAAAUGCGUAGAUAUGUGGAGGAACACCAAUGGCGAAGGCAGCUCUCUGGCCUGAUACUGACGCUGAGGUGCGAAAGCGUGGGGAGCAAACAGGAUUAGAUACCCGUGUAGUC
rnacentral:rRNA from 1 species